UGAGUGUGAAGAAAAUCUGGGAAAAAUAUUACUUUAUCCCAAAAUACCAGAAAAUUCAAAUUCCCUAUUUGGUAUCAGAGCUGGUAUGGCCAACGCCGCCUCUUUUUCUGUCACUGCGGCACUUACUACCAACUUUACCAAUCCUCCACUAAAUCAGAUUUUAAACCAACUAACAACCGUCAAACUUGAUAGAGGUAAUUACUUGCUAUGGAAGACUUUAGCUCUUCCCAUUCUCAAAGGCUACAAGCUCGACGGCCACCUAUCCGACGAAUGUCCUUGCCCACCCAAACUUAUUCCGUUGACAACCCAACCCAGCGGAUCUACUGUCGAAAACACCGGUGAACCAUCUUAAGAAACUUCGUCGAGUUCCAUUGCUGCAGUAACUGUGAAUCCCGAGUAUGAACGGUGGAUUACCACUGAUUUGCUACUCCUUGGAUGACUCUAUAACUCCAUGACACUUGAGGUGGCUAUUCAACUCAUGGGGUUUACAAAUGCUAAGGACCUAUGAGAAGCCAUUCAAAAUCUAUUUUGGAAUACAAUCAAGAGCUGAGGAAGAUUUUCUUCGCCAAACAUUCCAAACAACAAGGAAAUGUAAUCUUAACAUGGAAGACUAUUUACGAACUAUGAAAAAUAAUGUUGAUAACCUUGGGCAAGCUGGCAGUCCAGUACCUCCGCGUGCUCUUGUUUCACAUGUGUUGUUGGGGUUAGAUGAGGUUUACAACCCAGUCAUUGUUGUAAUCCAAGCGAGGAAACUCAAACAACGACAGAGGACGCGACCAAGGUAGAGGGAACAAACCCACUUGCCAAGUGUGGUAAGUAUGGUCACUCUGCUCUUGUUUGCUAUAAUCGAUUUAAUAGAGAAUUUUUGAGUCCUUUAGGAUAAAGCUCAUGUGCGUCUGUGAAUCCAAGUCCUACUGCUUUUGUGACUACUUAGAGUUCUAAUCCCUUUGCUACGCUUGAAACUGUAAUUGAUCCAAAUUGGUAUAUUGAUAGUGGUGCUACAAAUCAUGUCACGGCAGAAUCAUCUGGUUUAACCAACUCCGUAGACUACUCAGGUACUGAUAAAGUAAGAGCAGGAAAUGGAAAUACCUUGAAUAUCACUUGUGUCGGGCAUUCUUACUUGACUGAUGGCAAACGAUUUUUAGCUCUUAAAAAUAUUCUCUGUGUUUCUGAUAUUACAAAAAACUUGGUGAGUGUUUCAAAACUUGCCAAGAUAAUAACAUAUUUCUAGAGUUUCAUGAUUAUUAUUGUCUUGUUAAGGACAAAGCUUCAGAAGAAAUACUGCUGAAAGGAACACUUAAGAAUGAUCUUUAUCACCUGGAAAAUGCUGGUUUAAUGGUUGAUGCUGAGUUAGAUCAUAGUAGGAGUGUCAAGAAACAGCUUAUGCACAAAAAUAAGGAGACAUCGACAUUUAUUUUGUUAGGAGGAAAAAAUAUUGUCAGUAUUAAUGUUGCUGUUUUUAAAGCUGUUUGACAUAAACGUUUAGGCCAUCCUUCUUCCAAGACUUUGACUCUUUAGUAAAGAACUGUAACUUGCCUGUUAGCGAUUGUGAUGAAAUAAAUUUCUGUGAUGUAUGUCAACUGAGAAAAGCUCACAAUCUCCCCUUUAUUAUUUCUCAAUCUAGAGCUGCUGAAUAGUUGGAUAUUA